rnacentral:lncRNA from 1 species
GUAUCUGGUUUUGUGUGUGAAUAUCUGGUUUGGUUAUACUCUGCUUGUCGAAACUGUUUUUUAAGCCAGUUCAUUGAUUAUGGCUUCUAAUAUGAAUGCUGGUACCUCCUCCUCGGUAGACUCUACCAGCCCCCUCUUUGUAUACUCAUCUGAUGUCCCGUGGGUCUCUCUUGUCCCCACUCCCUUCUCGGGAAGUGGUUAUGGGGGUUGGAGGAGAAAAAUGA